AACGCACAUUGCGCCCGGCAGCACUCUGCCGGGCAUGCCUGUUCGAGCGUCAUUUCAACCCUCAGGACCCCUUCGGGGGACCUGGCGUUGGGGAUCGGCAGCCCGCCGGCCCCGAAAUAUAGUGGCGGUCCCUCUGUGACCUUCCCUGUGUAGUAGUGAUACCUCGCAGCGGGAUAGCAGUCUGACCACGCCGUAAAACACCCCACUUCUCAAGGUUGACCUCGAAUCAGGUAGGAAUACCCGCUGAACUUAA
rnacentral:misc_RNA from 1 species